rnacentral:rRNA from 1 species
GACGGAGGAGGCAAGCGUUAUCCGGAAUGAUUGGGCGUAAAGAGUCCGUAGGUGGAACUUCAAGUCCAUUGUCAAAGAGCAAAGCUUAACUUUGUAAAGGCAGUGGAAACUGAAGAACUAGAGAGGGGCAGGGGCAAAGGGAAUUCCUGGUGUAGCGGUGAAAUGCGUAGAGAUCAGGAAGAACACCGGUGGCGAAAGCGCUUUGCUGGGCCCAUUCUGACACUGAGGGACGAAAGCUAGGGGAGCGAAUGGGAUUAGAUACCCUUUGUCC